UAGAGUGUAGGGACGGCAGGUAGCCUAGCGGUUAGAGUGUAGGGACGGCAGGUAGCCUAGCGGUUAGAGUGUAGGGACGGCAGGUAGCCUAGCGGUUAGAGUGUAGGGACGGCAGGUAGCCUAGCGGUUAGAGUGUAGGGACGGCAGGUAGCCUAGCGGUUAGAGUGUAGGGACGGCAGGUAGCCUAGCGGUUAGAGUGUAGGGACGGCAGGUAGCCUAGCGGUUAGAGUGUAGGGA